rnacentral:lncRNA from 1 species
CCUGUGAGUUCUGUGUCUUGAGACGUUUAAGGUCAAGUUUCAUGCAUUUACUUUAUAAUGAUAAAAGGAUUUGCUACACCUCAAAAAUAACCAGAAAGUAUACUUCCUGCUUUUAAUAAAAGUUUAUAGUCCACUCAAAGCUGUCCUUUGUUAAUUGUUAUAUAAGACAAUUCAUUUGUUGUCUGCUUACGUAGUAUUCCUUAAUAGAGCAGGAGACAUCCUGACUUCGGUAAUCAUCAUGAACAUUACUAGUGGGAAGUGUUAAUGGUUUAUGUGCAUGUUUUGUUACAUUCUGACUUAGGUAAUCGUCAUAAACAUUACUAGUGGGAAGUGUUAAUGGUUUAUGUGCAUGUUUUGUUUCUUUAGGGAUAUGUGUUUGGCUGUGUUCAUCUCAAUGUUCACUUGGAUCUGCUCUUAUAUUUUUGGGGAUGGGAUAUCUAUUGUGUCAGAAUAAUUUGUAGGAGGAUAUUUGAACCUUACGUACGUGAAGCGUUUUGUUUCCUUCAGUUGUACCCUUUAUGUAUAUUGCUUGUCUGGCUACCUUAGUACGGGAGGAUAUUUGAACCUUACGCACGUGAAGCGUUUUGUUUCCUUCAGUUGUACCCUUUAUGUAUAUUGCUUGUCUGGCUACCUUUUUCUUCCUUGUGCUGGUAGGUCGCUUUUGGAUUUUACCAGUUCUCUGCUCUUAGGGCUAUUGUCUAUUCAAUAUGAAGAGUCAUCAUUUCCUCUAUUUGUUUUUUCCAACAUAUGCUGCGCGCGUGCUCUGUGACAUUAUCACUCUCCCUCUCUUGUUCACACAUGGCUCUGGGGUCUGUAGCCGCCUGAAGCAACAAUGUUUUUGGAACAGCAUUGGAGCAAACAAAUGCUAUCUCAUACACAGGGGUGACUCUGUGUUGGGACAUUUUCAGGGUUGAGCAAUUAAGUUUAUGCCAAUUUUCUGUUGGUUAACUCUUGUUUUUCUCUUUUUUGUUUUAUUCUCUCACAGACUGCUUUAAAGCUUGUAUCUGCCAUUAAAGGUAGCCGGGAGAAACAAGGCAAAUCACCCAGGAAGCUGUCUGUGACAUGGGCUCCUGAUGUGUAUGACCCUAUUCCAACAGCAGUUUCGCAUGUGCCAAACAAGGGACAACGCCACAGGAGUGACAACAAGAGGAGUGGGAAGAGUAAGCAAAAAAGCAAUGGCAAAUCUUCACGAGGGAGCAAGAGUAAAGACAAGAAACAAGGUCGCAAGCUUGGUGGGAGUGCCAAGAGGAGUUAUCAUCAUCUGGAGGAUAACCACAUAACGGCUUGUUCUAGCUACCAUUCUUUGGGGGAUAACAUAACUGCUCAUUCUAGCGGCCUGCAAGCUAGCACUGUGGAUUAUGAUAUUGGCAGCACUCCAGAUCCAUUCUGUGGGAGUAGUUUUCUCAAGAAAUCUGUCACAAAGUUGCAUUUUCCAGUUGCAGAAGCUUCCUGAGCUUCCUUUUUGGUUGUGGUGUGAACUGUUGACCGUUUCAUCUAGUUCUGUAAAUAAAUAAGUAUGACGCUUAACUGAGUUGUGGAAUUCGUAUGUGGUGUGAGCUGUUGAACGUUUCAUCUAGUUCUGUAAAUAAACAAGUAUGAUGCUUAACUGAGUUGUGGAAUUCCUUGCGAGUGUUGUUAUUUGCAUUUUUGUACCUAAGUUUUAAAACUUUUGCCCGGUUGGUGAGCGAAUGGACUCUUUUUUUUGCUUUGCUGUAUUUCAUGUUAGCAAGUUAAAGAGUGUUUUUAAUUCAUUGUUUCUCCCUUUAGUCUGGGAUUUUGACCAUGAUACCCUGUAAUCCGACCAUGUCCUGAAUGUUUCAUGUGCCUAGCAAGUAGUGCUAUGUUAUGGGGGUGUAUGUUAUGGGGGUGUGCACUCGAAUCGGUUUAUCGAUAAAUCGAAUCGAUUAUUUGUUAUGGAUUUAUCGAUAUCGGUUUAUCGAUUUCAUUUUCGAUUUCAAAAUUUUCCUUAUCGAGUUAUCGAUUUCGAUUUCAAUUCUGUCCUUUUCGGUUUAUCGAUAAACCGAUAAUAUACACUAUUUUUUUAAUUUUUUAUAAAUUGUUUUUUAAAAUAUUUUUUUAAAUUUCUUUUACCCUUAUUUUAUAAUACCAUUUUCUUUACCCUAAGUCCCUAGCGCUAUUAUUUCCUCUACCACAUUUAAGGAUUGAUCAUAUUUAAAGCUAAAGGGAAUAAAGUUCAAAUUAAUGGAAAAUAAAAUUAGCCGUGAUGAUAUAUUUUACCGUUCAUGUGUUUGUUGACACAAUAUUUAUGUUAUAAACGAUGCUCUUCUUAUUUUAGCUUCUUUUUGUUCAUAUUAGUUAGGUGUGUUUGUAGCGAUAUACUUUUUGUGGAAUCCCGAAAAUUUUCUUAUUGGUGUAAUCGAUAACCGAAU